CAAAACACCAUUUUGAAGGUGUUGGUCGUACAGAAGAUGAGCAGGGGCGACUCCCCACUCUCAAACCCUAAAACUCACUAAACUUGCAAAUUGAAGGCUCAAUCCAAGUCGAAAUCGAAAUUAAAGUGUAGAUUAUUGAUCCUCAUCACAAGAGGAUUACAAGUUUGACGCUUGACAAGCUAGGUGAAGGCUUGGAAAGGAAGCGGGUCAAACGAAGCAAAUAAGAAGGAAAAGCGUACUUCGGAUGCGAGGUGAAUGUCGAGAGUCCCGGAUGAAGAUCAAGCAUCGAGCAAGAACCGAACACACGUUAAACAAAGCUUCCGCAACGUUGUUUUGUCGUUAUUCUAAACGGCGAAUUAAAUCACAUUAUGUAUAUCACUUAAAUUGUAAAAGUUUUUAACAACCCGUAUUUCCGAUGUAUAUGUGAUCAUUAAUUACAUGAUUAUUUCGCUAAAUAUACGUUAAACCUUGAUUUAUAAGAACGGGUGUUACAU